UCUGAUGUAUUCCGAGGGCCUUCAGGUAGCGGAUACUCGUGCUUUUAUCCUUAGGAUUCGAGGGGCUCUUCUUUGUCUGUCGGAGGACCUUGGAGAAAGCCAGCUUCAUGUGUUGAUCUACUGUCUUCAAGAGGAAGUACCUGGACCACAAGAACAAUCGAAGCAAGAGGGAUGCAGGAGCAUAUGAUAAUUUACCUUCCACCCAUCAGUGACCCAGAUGAGCCAUUCCCCACUCCCAGGACCUAGGAUCCUGAGUUCGGACCCCAGCAACCACAUACAUGGUGGCUCACAACCAUCCGUGAUGAGAUCUGAUGCCCUCUUCUGGUGCGUCUGAAGACAGUGGGGCCGGAGCAGAGGGUCCUGAUUUUAAUUCCCAGCUCAUGGCCAUCUGCACAGCUACAGUGUACUCAUACACAUAAAAAAUAAAUAAAAAAAAUCUUAAGACAAA